AGCUCUGCAAGGAAGCUGCUUUCAACCUGGGAAUCUCAGACAUCAGGAACCUCACAUUUUCACUAUGGUGCCUAUAUCUCCCCCAUUCCUGGAACCUUAGGGUUGGGCGCACUUUCCUGCAUGCUUCUUUCAAUUCAUACCAAAUAAUAUUGCAUCCACUGAUCCCAACCUAACCAACACAACAAGUACCACCUCAGCAUGCUUCAGCUCAGACUGUGUCCAGAGAAUUCAGGUGUGGAAUGACAAACCUUCAGCUUCAUCACUCAGUCACCAGGUUCCAGAUGCUACCAUGAUGUCAACGAGACUUCCCUGGACAGAUGACCCCACCAAUAUGUACUGGAGCUCCGCUUCCCAAGAUCCCCACCCUACUAGAGAAAGAGAGAGCCACCAGGUUCCAGAUGCUACCAUAAUGCCAACCAGACUUCCCCAGACAGACAAACCCAACAAUGUGUCCUGGAGCCCCACUUCCCCAGAGCCCCACCACACUACGGAAAGAGAGAAGCAGGUUGGGGUUAUGGAUCGACCUACUAAUGCCCAUGUUCAUCAGGGAAGCAAUUACAGAAGCCAGACCUUCCAUAUUCUGCACCCUACGAUGACCCUGGGUCCAUACUCCCAAAGGGAUAAAGAAUAGGAAAGCUAACAGGGGAGGGGAUGGGAUACACAGUUCUAAUGGUGGGAAUUAUAUGGAAUUAUACCUCUCUUAUCCUAUGGUUUUGUCAGUAUUUCCUUUUUAUAAAUAAAGAUAAUAAUAAUUAAUUAAAUUAAAUUUUAAGAUAACAUAAAAUAUAUAGAAAAAACUUGUAAAAUCAUAAAAUAUUGGGUGGGGGGAGAUAGCAUUGUUGGGUAGUAUGCCAGCUCCCCCGGCUUCUGUCUCUAAUCCUGCUUAACUAAGCACUGGCAUGCCUGUAUGGCAUUGGUUUGAUCCCACUCAAAGCUGCAGUCUAUUUACAUAAAUCACUAACUAAGCACCACCCUCCCUCCAGGGCAUUGGUGGUUCUGUGGUAGAAUUCUCACCUGCUCCACGCCCUCUCCUUGUCACACCCUGAUUUUCCACCACUCUCUUUUCGCUCCACCCUCUCUACAUCACAUCCUGUUUACACCCUACUUGGCAAGUUUAUAUAAGGACAGGUUUGUGAGUUUUCAGUUUAGUUUAG